rnacentral:rRNA from 1 species
CAAUAGCGUAUAUUUAAGUUGUUGCAGUUAAAGAGCUCGUAGUUGGAUUUCGGGUUGGCUUCAGCGGUCUCGCUUUGCGUUUGUACUGCUGCAGCCUACCUUCUUGUCGGGGACGGGCCUUCGGGCUUAAUUGCUUGGGGCCCGGAGUCGACGAUGUUACUUUGAGUAAAUUAGAGUGUUCAAAGCAAGCCUACGCUCUGAAUAUAAUAGCAUGGGAUAACACGACAGGACUCUGGCCUAUCGUGUUGGUCUGUAGGACCAGAGUAAUGAUUAAGAGGGACAGUCGGGGGCAUUCGUAUUCCGUUGUCAGAGGUGAAAUUCUUGGAUUUACGGAAGACGAACAUCUGCGAAAGCAUUUGCCAAGGAUGUUUUCAUUGA